GGUGAUGUCUCCUUGCCUUUAUCCAAAGGAGAUACUCGGUCAUGCUGUGGGUUGAAAGAAACCUUAGACGCCUUGUCGUCAAGAGUGUGGUGAGAGGGGGGGUUAGAUGCCC
rnacentral:ncRNA from 1 species